AACGAACGCUGGCGGCAGGCCUAACACAUGCCAGUCGAACGCCCCGCAAGGGGAGUGGCAGACGGGUGAGUAACACGUGGGAACCUUCCCUCUAGUACGGAAUAGCCCAGGGAAACUUGGAGUAAUACCGUAUACGCCCGAAAGGGGCAAGAAUUUCGCUAUAGGAUGGGCCCGCGUAGGGUUAGCUGGUUGGUGAGGUAAUGGCUCACCAAGGCGUCGAUCCUUAGCUGGUUUGAGAGAACGACCCGCCACACUGGGACUGGGACGCGGCCCAGACUCCUACGGGAGGCAGCAGUGGGGAAUAUUGGACAGCGGGCGCAAGCCUGAUCCUGCCAUGCCGCGUGAGUGAUGAAGGCAUUAGGGUUGUAAAGCUCUUUUGGCGGGGACGAUAAUGACGGUACCCGCAGAAUAAGUCCCGGCUAACUUCGU
rnacentral:rRNA from 1 species